UGACGUAUGUAGAGUUUGAUCCUGGCUCAGAACGAACGCUGGCGGCAUGCCUAACACAUGCAAGUCGAACGAAGGCUUCGGCCUUAGUGGCGCACGGGUGAGUAACGCGUGGGAAUCUGCCUAUCAGUGGGGAAUAACGACGGGAAACUGUCGCUAAUACCGCAUACGCCUCCGGGAACGGAAUUUAUCGCUGAUAGAUGAGCCCGCGUACGAUUAGCUAGUUGGUGAGGUAAUGGCUCACCAAGGCUACGAUCGUUAGCUGGUCUGAGAGGAUGAUCAGCCGCACUGGGACUGAGACACGGCCCAGACUCCUACGGGAGGCAGCAGUGGGGAAUAUUGGACAAUGGGCGAAAGCCUGAUCCAGCAAUGCCGCGUGAGUGAUGAAGGCCUUAGGGUUGUAAAGCUCUUUCGGGUGGGACGAUGAUGACGGUACCACCAGAAGAAGCCCCGGCUAACUUCGUGCCAGCAGCCGCGGUAAU
rnacentral:rRNA from 1 species